UAAAGAUCAGAAUCAGAUUGAACAAACAAACAGUUAGUGACGAAUCAGUCGAGCACCGUUCCUAAAGCUCCGGGUAACCAAACUGCUGGCGAAGGAGUAGAGGAGAAAGAGCUGAAAAGAAAUGAAGGCGGGGAAGGAGCAAGGGGGUGUUUGAGAAGGUGGGGCGAGGACUGUCGUGGCGAUGAGGAGAAUGGACCUCGCCCUGAAGGUAUGGACGAGCUUCUCAUCACUCUCUUACUGUCUCAUCAUCUUGUUGACUGGCUGGCACGCCUGAGGACUCGAGACAUCCAGACAUAGGCACUGGCAGGUAUGCACACACAGACAUACACUUUGGCAGGUGCAGGCUGCACGAAGGGCUGCUAGUCGUUUCUUCUGUGUUGCUUUUCAUUAACUUGUCUAAUACAAUCAAAGACUGUCAGCAAGAGUGACAGAAAGAGAAAGAAAGAGAAGAAAAGGAGGAGAGAGAGAUAUUGCCUCCUUUUUUUCACAGAUAUGUCUCUGUUCAU
rnacentral:lncRNA from 1 species